AAUUUGAUUUAUUAAAUUAUAGUUUAUACACAAUACAAUGUAUCUGUUAUCAAUGAUUUCAGCAGGCAGGUAUCUAGUCUAUUCUUAGGCAAUUACAUAACAUCUAUUUUUAGCUUAGUAGGAAUAGUGCCCUAGAGGGGGGUUAGAGUAUUGUUGAUGAAUUGAGAGGAAGCAUCGUUGUAUUUGAUGCAUUACAAUCAGUUAUUUUACUGUUUUCGAACCAUAUUCGAAAUUGUUUUAUUUUUUAUGUUAACGGAUAUUGACAUGGAUAUACGUUUCUUUGGAAUAGUGAUUGGAUAUUGUACAUUUGAUUGAGUAAUUUUUAUCACUUCAAUAUCACUUUCCAAGUGCGUGCUAUGGGUACGCGCCCAGGUAACACAGAUAAUCGUAUUAUGAUCUUUAAUAUUUCGAAACUGGAUUAACUCUUCUUGUAGAGUUGAGAACAAGAACAUAGAUGUCCAGCUCACGCUAUGAGAUGACUGAUUGACCUUAUUUCGAUAUCGAGACAUUCGGCCAUGACAGCAUUUUCAAGUGCGCGAUCCCACAAUGCAACGCAUAUAUGUAAACAAUAACAAUAAUUGGAAUAGAACUACGAUUGAGUAGACUAAGUGUGUAAACGUUCGUUCAAUAUUUAAUACACAUCUUGAUUAAUAAAUAACUGUUUGUCAGCAUUUUCCAAAAUGUCAGUAUCAUUACAAGUUUCCCGUACGUUAUGCCCGCAGUUUUAUCGCUAUGUCGACGGCAUUCAAUAUUCCAUAACACUACGUUUGAACUCAUGCUAUAUCAGUAUACACACUAGCUAUGUAUACACAUUCCAUUUGCCUUAAUGCUUACUUUCUUUGAUAAGCAGCCGAUAAGCAUGUUUCUACCGCCCAGGCUCAGGAGUCAAUGAUCGUGAUACAUGAGAUAUAUACGAUAUGUUAUGGUUAUUAUGCAGAACCUCUGCCUCUGGCGGACACUUUGUUUCAACCUAGAAUAUAUAGUUCCAAUUAGUCCUUACAUUGUAUUAAUUCAGCAGUUCUUCAACACUAGCACAAGGACUGAGGGAACGCUUAGAUCAUACAGAACACUUCGGGUUUACCAUAUACUAGUAUACAGGUUUAUCAUAUACUACUGUAGAGUAGGGUGUGAAGAGCAGCAUGGAGAUUCGAGGACAUGUAUACUCAAGCACGUAUAUGUCUGAACUUCUUAAGGAUAUGCAACUGAAUGUAUUGUAUUGGUGGAAACUUUGCCUUUGUUAAGUAUAAGUAAUAUUUUUUAUUUUAGUGAUAAGCAAAACAUACAUUUGUAAUAACAGCAGAUACAUACAUGUAUAUAAUGAGUAAUACUAUGUAUCAAUGUCAUAUUUUAGCACAUAGAAUCACACAGUAUCCUAUCUCUAUUCAAGAUGGUUCCACACCGACAGAGAUCUCUUCAGGUUAACAUUUCGUACAAUAUAGUAUGAAUUUAUAUUUAUAUGUACAUGUAUUAUAUUUCAGCACAUACAUGUAGUACAGAAACACACAGUUUUUAUCAUGUUCAUAUAUCGCUGUUCUAUUUGCUAUCUCUAUACUAGAUUAUUUUACACAUGCCAGGAUCUCCCAAGAUGGACAUUUCUCAGUAUAGUUUUGCAUACAUGUAUGUACUUAUUUUAUAUGUAUUAUAUUUCAGCACAUAGUACAUGUAGCACACAGUAUUUAUCAUGUUUAUAUCUUUAGUCUAGAUUGCUCCACACAUGCAGGGAUCUCCUCAGGUGUACAUUUCAUACAGUACAGUUAAUUUACAUAUAUUAUAUUUCAGGUCGUACCUGCUGGAUCGCUCCAGGUCAUUCAUUCUCUUUAUGUAUAUUGUACGUAUUGUACUACGCCUGCUGGAUCGCCACAGGUCAUUCAUUCUCUUUAUGUAUACUGUACUACACCUGCUGGAUCGCCACAGGUCAUUCUAUUUAUGUAUACUGUAUUACACCUGCUGGAUCGCCACAGGUCAUUUUAUCUAUUUAUGAGUAUUGUACUACGCCUGCUAGAUCGCCACAGGUCAUUCUUUCUUAUUACACAGGUUAUUUUAUUUAUGUGUAUUGUACUACGCUUGCUGGAUCGCCACAGGUUUUUUAUUUAUUUAUAUAUAUUGUACUACCCCUGCUGGAUCGCCACAGGUUAUUUUAUUUAUGUAUAUUGUACUACAUCUGCUGGAUCGCCACAGAUUAUUUUAUUUAUGUAUAUUGUACUACACCUGCUGGAUAGCCACAGGUUAUUUUAUUUAUGUGUAUUGUAUUACGCCUGCUGGAUCGCCACAGGUCGUACUACCCCUGCUGGAUUGCCACAGGUCAUUCAUUCUUUUUAUUUCUCAGUAUAGUAAUGCAUACAUGUAUGUAUUUAUUUUAUAUGUAUUAUAUUUCAGCAGAUAGUACAUAUAGCACACAGUAUUUAUCAUGUUUAUAUCUUUAGUCUAGAUUGAUCCACACAUGCAGGGAUCGCUCCAGGUGUACAUUUCAUACAGUACAGUUAUAUAUAUUAUAUUUCAGGUCGUACCUGCUGGAUCGCUCCAGAUCAUUCAUUCUCUUUAUGUAUAUUGUACUACACCUGCUGGAUCGCCACAGGUCUUAUUGUACCUGCUGCAUCGCCACAGAUCAUUCAUUAUCUUUAUGUAUACUGUACUAUACGCCUGCUGGAUCGCCACAGGUUAAUUUAUUUAUGUGUAUUGUACUACGCCUGCUGGAUCGUCACAGGUCAUAUUAUCUUUUAUUAUGUAUUAAUGUGUUAUAUUUAACUCAGCUAGUAUUUCACUUAGACCCUCUUGUUAAAGGAUUACUAAGACUUCCCAGGUUGUUUCUUUUCUUUUAUUUUUACAGGAAAAUACAGAUACAGAUAUUUAAACCUUCGUUUUUCGGAUGAAGACUUCAGAACUUAUAGCACCGGUAUAUAUGAGACAACAAUACCCUGAUGCCUGCCUUCAUAUAUAGUAUAAUGUGUUAGACAACAGUUCAACUUUUGUUUAUUUUAACUUAUCGUUUUCGGAUGCAGAAUUCAGAACUAUUAAGCACUAGACAUGAGGAUAGCUAUAUCUUGAUGCAGACUUCAGAACUAUAUAGCACCGUUUAUAUAAGGAGGACGAUACCUUGAUUCAUGCAUUCAUAGUUAAUGUGUCAGAACUACAGUCACACUUCUUUAAACAUUAAACGCAAGAAUUUUAACUACAUGUAUGUAAGACAGUUUUAUUUUAUCCGUCUGGGUAAGAGAGAAGUGAUUAUUGUGAGCACUCUUUCAGAACUAGUAGAGGGUUCGUUCUAAAGCACAACAGGAAGGUGUGGUUAUUGGAAUUAUUGUAUUGUUAAUGUCAUUUUUUUUUCUUUUUUUACAUUUGUAUUUGCUACCAUUAUUAUUUCUUGGGGGCUUUCAUUCUUUCAUUUUAUGAACUCAUUUCAUUUGGCUUUUAAUUCCAGGGGAAUCAUACUCCCCCAAUUCAAUAAUACAUCAGAUAGGUUAAUUCCUGUCGAGGAACAAAUUGUAUUUUAAGUAGUAUUUUUUACUACGCUGGGAUCGCCCAGGAGCAAUUAGGUUCAUUCCUGUCGAGGAAUGUAGGUUCAUUCCUGGGGAUCGCCCCAGGAAACACAUAGGCUCAUUCCUGGGGAUCGCCCCAGGAAACACAUAGGUUCAUUCCUGGGGAUCGCCCCAGGAAACACAUAGGCUCAUUCCUGGGGAUCGCCCCAGGAAACACAUAGGCUCAUUCCUGGGGAUCGCCCCAGGAAACACAUAGGUUCAUUCCUGGGGAUCGCCCCAGGAAACACAUAGGCUCAUUCCUGGGGAUCGCCCCAGGAAACACAUAGGCUCAUUCCUGGGGAUCGCCCCAGGAAACACAUAGGUUCAUUCCUGGGGAUCGCCCCAGGAACAUUUUUUACUAAUCGCAUAUUUUUAUUUUUCUCAUAUUUUGAUAAGUUUUGAAUUUAUUUUCUCAUAUUUUGAAUAGUUUGAAAUGUUUAUUUCAAUUCUCUUAAGUGAAUGAGUAGCCCCCAGAAAGCCAAUAAUGUAUUAUAUAGUUUGUCAUAUAAUGUAGAAAAAUAUGUACGGUUAUGAUACAGUUUAUUUUAAUAUUUAGUUGUAGUUUUAGUAUGUUUUGAUAUUUGAAUAAUAAAACAUAUAUCUUAAA